UACGUAGGGGGCAAGCGUUGUCCGGAAUCACUGGGCGUAAAGGGCGCGUAGGCGGCUCAGUAAGGUUGCGGUGAAAGCCCGGGGCUCAACCCCGGGUCGGCCGUGGCAACUGUCUGGCUGGAGCACUGUAGAGGCAGGUGGAAUUCCGGGUGUAGCGGUGGAAUGCGUAGAGAUCCGGAAGAACACCGGUGGCGAAGGCGGCCUGCUGGGCAGUAGCUGACGCUGAGGCGCGACAGCGUGGGGAGCAAACAGG
rnacentral:rRNA from 1 species